rnacentral:lncRNA from 1 species
GCUGAUACUGAUUUAAGAAAAAUUUAUUCUCCCGCAGAGCUGGAGUAUUAGCAUGGUGAGACACCAUACUCAAAGGAAGAAGAGACACCAUUGUCUUUCUCUCUUCUCCUGUGGGUCCUCAGCUGACUUCUCUAAAUUUCAUUGGUCAAAGUGGAGUCACAUGCUCCCUCCUGAGUUCAAAGAGGAAGUGAUGGAAAGGGUGUUGGGGUGACAGUUCCCACCACACCAUCCACAGCUUGCCUGCCGGUGAGCAGGCUGUCCCCGAUGCAGGUACAGCCCCCCAUCCCCACACCAGGCAGAGCAAAGGCAGACAGCUUUGACCAGAGCAGGGUUCAGGGUGGCAGUGCCAUCAGACGCCUCUGCUGUCUCCCUCAGGUGACUGUUUCUGUAAUGGCUGAGCUGUGUCUGGCUUCAGUCUGAACCAUCAGUUUCCAAACAGUGCUGCCUCUUCCCACCUCCCACACACGAGGUCACAGAGGACCUGCGAAAGCCGGGCUAGCACCUACCUUUCCCCCACUCAGCGCCUGAAUCUCGAUGCUUUGGAUGGUGCCGAGCCAGACUCGCUGGGCUCAUUCUCUCCGUCUCCUGCUGAAUUCUCUGGCUGCUUCUCAGCUGUCAGGGUGCCAAGCUCCAUCCUGACCGUCUCCUGGCUCCAGCCGCAGCAGGAAAUGGGCCUGACCGUUGUUCUUCCACAGCUGAUGAGAAAAGGGUGGAAGACAGCCGCUGGUGUGCUGGAAUUGUGUAAGUGUUGCCGAUGGAAAUGCAUUGUGUGAACAUCAUCCUGUGCACUGCAGCAGGAAAAGUUGGGAACGAAACUCCUUUAGGUUGUGAAGCAAGGAGCUUCUGGAAGACCCAUUAACAUAAAGCUUUGGAAACCAGCUUGGAAAUUUUGACAUGUCGUCACUUUCAUCUGCUAAGCAGCUUGCAAACAUCCUCUCCCUCUUUCCCAUGCCUCCCUCCAACUUCUCUGCUUCAGCCUGACCAUCUGAAUUUUUCCAGUGAGAUUGCAGACCCAGCAGGCUGGCUUCCACUUCUGAUGAGAGAUGGGAGGAUUGAGGAUAGGACCCGACAGGCUUCAGAAAAGCACCCUGUUUUGCUCUGUCUGCUGCCAGACCCAAAACCUGCCCACC